CCCAACCGCGGCGCCGGCGAACGGCACACAACGCCUCCGCCCUCCCGCGCCGGUGUGGAGCAGAUCAGGUCGUUCAGGGGUGCAGGCGCUUGCUCUUCCCCACCCCACGCCCCCCCAUAGGUUUUGCCUCCCCCUCUCUCCCUCUCUCCCUCUUGAUGAGGGGUCGUGUGCAGGGACACAAAUAGAGGGGGCGGAGCAGAAGGGGCUCACCAUGGAUGCUCAAGGAGGUGGCCUCAACGAUGGCCUGCUGCGCGCAGUGCCGCUGAUGAAGGAAAAUCGAUCACCUGAUGUUUUCUGUGUGGGAAGACGAGACCAUCUUGGCGUUCAGGGGAAGAAAGCGAGGACUCAGGGGAGCCAAGAGGUAAAAUGGAGUUUCCUGGAAACACGGCCAUGAUCAAGAUGCAAGAGCAUCUAUCAGACAUGUGAACUGUUUAGGCGUGGGCUCUAUCUGCUUUGACAACAAGAAAAAUCAGGCCUUCACAGUAAUGAAAGAGGCUCAACUAGGGCAUUGUGGAGUUUGUGGUGAUGACUGUGCCUCGAGAACCUCCUCCUUUUGCCCUGCUCACUGAGAUUAACAAGUUCAUUACCUGCAGACAGUUGGAUCAAAACUGAGCUUCUGGCUUUUCAUGGUUUUAGAAAUUUUAAGAAGUUACGAACAACCCCUUUCCUCUGUACUUUGACAGUCUUCAGAACUGGAGGCACAGGACACUGGACACCAAGUUCACAAACAAGAUGACAUGGAAAGCUAUUUUAGAGCAUCGGCCAGAGUUACAACAAGAUGCACCGUCACCCAUAAUUUCCUUCUUGGUACUGCACGGAUAGAUUUAGUUUGAUAUACGAGUUAUUACACAACAAUUUCCAUCGAAGUGCAAUGAAGGUUAUAAAAAUGGACUGAAGUAUACACAGUCACCUACAUAGCCACACAUGAAUAUGUUGUUUCAAAGGUACUUGAGCUUGUUUCAAUGAUAGGCAACAGAGAUUUAAACUUCGUUACAUUUUCUUGCUCUGAGCGGUGCUUAAUGAUAGCUCAUUGGUUGUAAAUUUUUGUGCAUUUGGUACAAAGUUCACAUUUAGGUUCUGAUUGUUUUUCUCUAGGACAACCUUCGAUAAAGAUUAUCUUUACUGCUUAUUGCUGAUUUUUUUUCUUGAUGUCUGAGGAUUUUUUAGUUAUAUCCCCUUCUGGUUUGUUUAGCCCAUUUGCAUCAGCCAGAGAAAUUGAAUGAGGUUUCACAUUACAUCAAAUGCAUGGAUUUAAAUAUAGGCUUUUAAAGAUUUAUUUCAAAAACGUCCAGAUGGUAGCUUAUUUCUGAUGUGGAUCUGGGAAGUAGUCAUUGAAUGAUUUGUGUCCAUGUUGUGUGACCGUGGCACCAUUUAAAUAACUGAUCAUGCUUAAAGAUGUAGUGCUUCGAUGAAUAGGUGUACUCCUCCAAUCCUCCAUGGAAUUGUGCUCAUAUGAAUAUUUUUAUCCAUUCGUUCCAUCUUCUCAUAUCCAAUUUAGCCUUUGUUAAAGAAAGGUUGUUGCUUUUGGGGUUUGUCUAGACUAGGCAUUUCUAAUCAAAUUUCUUUUUUGUGUGGUUUAUAUGUAACAAUAAAGAGAAUAAAUUUGUUUCUAAAUAAGGUCUGUCUUAUGUGUGUUGCAUAUGAGUCGAUGGCGGGCCUCUAAAAUUAUUUGUAUGUGAGCUAGCUUAGCUCUAUAACUCAGAGACCAUUCUUUUAAGAUUAAUUGUUUUGGUAGGUCAAUCAAAACAACUUGCAAAAUGAUUAAUGCCUCAAAACCUAAUGGUAUGUUGCAGCUUCAAAAAAACUGAAAGAAACCUCAAAAAAUGUAUUAUGCUGAUAAAUGUUGCUCAGUUUGACUUUGAUCUGUCCUGCUGAUAUCCACAUUCACUUUUUAUGUGCAGAUCUAAAUAAACUAUCGGAGCACCUUUAUUUAGCAUGUUUAUGAGCUUAGGAAAUUAGAUUUGUUUCAUGCUAAUAGAUGUCGUCUUAAUAAUUAUUGAAGUAAUGCGAAGAACCAAAUAUUUGUGCUUACAAGAAUUAAAUCUUUUGUUCUAAAAAAUGUGUCUUCAAUAAAGGAAACACAUAUGCGAGGACUUUCUACCAGUAAUUGAUCAUUUGUUGGAGUAGAAAGAGCAUUGUCUUUGUCUCAUAACUUUUAGCUAUUAGCUAUGUUGAUCAUAUUUGAUUUAAUGUUACUAAUACGUAGGGAGGCUUGACUCUUCGGUCAGGACGGCGUGGACUGUGUUCAACAUAUGGCAGGCUAUCAAAUCGAAGAGCGUCUUGAAGCCGACAUCACUCGCCAAGACAACCAUCAAGGUCCACGGCGACCUCCAAUCGAAGAGCAGACAGAGCAACUAGAGAUUCAAGCCGCCUUCAUCACAACCACUUGCAAAUAGAGGCAUGCAUUCUGAGCCUCGCUGGUGUGUGGCAGUCUAGAUAUGUGUGCUGGGAAUAAUGAGCAACAUGAGUGUCAUGUACUUUUCCUCUGCAGGUGUGAACUUUUUUGUUGUCUGAAUCGAUCUGUUUGGUCUAUGGCUAUGAGCUAAUGUGUUAUUUGAUGAAUAAAGGCUACUGCUGGUUUUUACUGCUGUUACGGUGUUGAUUGGUUGAAGCUGAAACUGCUUCAUAUUCUUGCAA